rnacentral:lncRNA from 1 species
CUUGACUCGAGGAGCUAAGCAUUUUCAACAUGUCCGUAUUCUCCAGAGGUGUCAUUUUCUGAUUAAAACAAAUCAAAAAGCUUCAGACUUGGCAUGGCAGUAAAGACUGAAAGCAAAGUGGCUCUGCAGUCAAGCCAAACGAUCAUUAUUCACAGAAGGGUAUGUCCGUGUCUGUGCAGUAUACUAUUACUGGAAAGGAAGAAAAUGAUUCCCAGUGAUUCCCUUUCCAUUGCUUAGAAAUUCCAUCUUCUGCAUUGGUGAAUCACAGUGACAUCUCCCAUAACAUGGAA